rnacentral:rRNA from 1 species
UACAGAGGUCUCAAGCGUUGUUCGGAUUCAUUGGGCGUAAAGGGUGCGUAGGCGGCGCGGUAAGUCGGGUGUGAAAUCUCCGGGCUUAACUGGGGAAGUGCACCCGAAACUGAGUAGCUAGAGUGCGAAAGAGGGUCGCGGAAUUCCCGGUGUAGAGGUGAAAAUUCGUAGAUAUCGGGGAGGAACACCGGUGGCGAAGGCGGGAUCCUGGGCCAGUACUGACGCUGAGACGCGAAAGCGUGGGGAGCAAACAGG